GAGUAUUUGGUCAUCUUCAAUUCGAGGGCUAUUAUAGGCCGGGCUGGGAGCUUUCUCAUACUUCACUUUGAUGAGGCAACUGAGACACAGAGAGCUCAAGCAUCCCACUCAAAACUACAUGAGCCUGGGUGGUUCAGCAGAUAAGGUGUUUUUGUUCCAAGGUCCUGACAACCUGACUUGGAUCUCUGGAACCCACCUACGGGAAGGAGAGAACUGGCUUCCACAAGUUGUCCUCUGAUCUCCAUUCACCUGUACACGUAUAUACAUGUGAAAAGAAUAAAUAGAUAAAUAAAUACAAUAAUAAUAAGAAAAUCCCCUCACAGGUACAGCAGGAGGAGCUACAGUGGAGCCCAAAGGAUCUGGGAGCAGAGACUGAGCUCUUUGUCACUUACAAUGUCUCCCAUUCCCAACUUCCCCAGUGCUGGGGAAGAGAACCUAGAAAUUGUCUAAGUGAAAAAGUCAUCCCCGACACCGACUGACUUCUAGCUGCAAACCUAAUCAUUCACUGAGAUUCUAUAAUAUGUCUUCUCAUUUUCCCUCAAAUCUAGACUUAAAUUAUUCAUGUCCAUCCUGAAUGUGUUAUCAUUUCCUGAAUGAUCUACUGUGUCUCUCUGCAUCCUUCAGAGCACAGCUGGAACUGUAAUUCAGGUUGCAAAAACAACCUUAAUUCUUUUUUACUUUUUUUCCCCCAAAACGGAGUCUCGCUAUGCAGCCUUAGCUGGUCUGGAACUUGCCGUGUAGAACAGGCAGGUCUUAAAUUCACAGGGAUCUCCUCUGUCUCUCCAGUGAUGGGAUUAAAUAUGUGACUACCACAACUGGUUCCAAUCUCAAUUUGCUAAUUUGAAACUAAACCUUGGCAUUGUUUGGGGACGAAGUUGAGACGGGAACACAAGUCGUGAUACCUUGCAGGAG
ensembl:lncRNA